CCCUAGCGGCCGAUCCACAUACCCCCUCCCUCCCAUUUCCUCAGCCGCCGCCAUCCCUCCUCGGUCUCCUCCCGGAUCUCGCAGCGCACCCGCAUCCGGCCGCCUCGGAGAACGUCGCCCCGACCAGCAACCCCUCUGCCACUCCUGCCUUGCCGCCCUCGCACGCUCAAGUGAUGGACGCAUUGCAUCUCCAGGCGGGCUUUGACCUGCCGUCGCCGAGAGGUGCUGGUAGCCGGGCAGCGGCCAGGGUGCUGCUUGUUGGGGAAGCUGCAGGUCGGUCCCCGUAGGACUGCGCGCCCGUCUGAAAGUGUUGCAGUUUUUCUCCAUCCCCAUGUCCUUCAGUCCUUGACCGCAUCUUCGCCUACUAAGAGUAAUUAACGGCUAUGGUCCUCUCGUAUGAUUUUCUUGUUUUAUCCCUUGAAGCAAUGAAUUAAUUCGUAGCAGGACUUUGUCAUCGAUGUGAAUAAUCAGUGGUUGCUGCAAGGGUGGAUGGGCCGAGUACUCUACAAAUUGUGAACAUGGGUUGCUGCUACUGCUGACAUGUCCAGAUUUUAGCUCUUCUUCCCCUUUUAGUCCAGCGUGCAGUUAUAGAAGAGAUUUCUAUAGAUGAUAAUCAGUGGAAUUAUGGUUUGCUAGCAACUAUGCUUGAGAAGGUGAUAUUAUUUUUGGAAGAUGGAAGACAGAAGAUGACAACGAUGAUGAAGGCUUUGCUUUUAUUUGUACUAAACAAUUUGUACUUUGAUGUAUGUAUGAUUGACCAGCUGGUUUGUCCUUUCAGUUGGUCCAGAUAUAGGGAAAAAGUGUGUAACAAUUUCUUUAUAUGAGGCCUCAACGUGGAGAUAUUUGUUGUAAAAAUAUGUACUAGAAAAAAAUAUUACUAGUUCUGUUAAUACAACUAGAAGAAUGUGUUAGUACAAGUAAAAAAAA